rnacentral:rRNA from 1 species
AUUGAACGCUGGCGGCAUGCUUUACACAUGCAAGUCGAACGGCAGCGCGGGCUUCGGCCUGGCGGCGAGUGGCGAACGGGUGAGUAAUACAUCGGAACGUGCCCAGUAGUGGGGGAUAGCGCGGCGAAAGCCGGAUUAAUACCGCAUACGACCUGAGGGUGAAAGCGGGGGAUCUUCGGACCUCGCGCUAUUGGAGCGGCCGAGGGCGGAUUAGCUAGUUGGUGGGGUAAAGGCCUACCAAGGCGACGAUCUGUAGCUGGUCUGAGAGGACGACCAGCCACACUGGGACUGAGACACGGCCCAGACUCCUACGGGAGGCAGCAGUGGGGAAUUUUGGACAAUGGGCGAAAGCCUGAUCCAGCCAUGCCGCGUGUGUGAUGAAGGCCUUCGGGUUGUAAAGCACUUUUGGCGGGAACGAAAAGGACUGUGCCAAUACCACGGUUCGAUGACGGUACCCGCAGAAUAAGCACCGGCUAACUACGUG